AGCUGGUCCGAGUGCAGUGGUCUUCACAGCUAAUUGAUCACAACCAGUUACAGAUUCCUUUGUUCCUCCUCCACUCCCUCUGCUUCACUUGACUAGCCUUGA
rnacentral:Y_RNA from 1 species